rnacentral:rRNA from 1 species
GUCGACGGUAACAGGAGCAGCUUGCUGCUUCGCUGACGAGUGGCGGACGGGUGAGUAAUGUCUGGGAAACUGCCUGAUGGAGGGGGAUAACUACUGGAAACGGUAGCUAAUACCGCAUAACGUCGCAAGACCAAAGAGGGGGACCUUCGGGCCUCUUGCCAUCGGAUGUGCCCAGAUGGGAUUAGCUAGUAGGUGGGGUAACGGCUCACCUAGGCGACGAUCCCUAGCUGGUCUGAGAGGAUGACCAGCCACACUGGAACUGAGACACGGUCCAGACUCCUACGGGAGGCAGCAGUGGGGAAUAUUGCACAAUGGGCGCAAGCCUGAUGCAGCCAUGCCGCGUGUAUGAAGAAGGCCUUCGGGUUGUAAAGUACUUUCAGCGGGGAGGAAGGCGAUAAGGUUAAUAACCUUGUCGAUUGACGUUACCCGCAGAAGAAGCACCGGCUAACUCCGUGCCAGCAGCCGCGGUAAUACGGAGGGUGCAAGCGUUAAUCGGAAUUACUGGGCGUAAAGCGCACGCAGGCGGUCUGUCAAGUCGGAUGUGAAAUCCCCGGGCUCAACCUGGGAACUGCAUUCGAAACUGGCAGGCUAGAGUCUUGUAGAGGGGGGUAGAAUUCCAGGUGUAGCGGUGAAAUGCGUAGAGAUCUGGAGGAAUACCGGUGGCGAAGGCGGCCCCCUGGACAAAGACUGACGCUCAGGUGCGAAAAGCGUGGGGGAGCAAACAGGGAUUAGAUACCCUGGUAGUCCACGCCCGUAAACGAUGUCGACUUGGAGGUUGUGCCCUUGAGGCGUGGCUUCCGGAGCUAACGCGUUAAGUCGACCGCCUGGGGAGUACGGCCGCAAGGUUAAAACUCCAAAUGAAUUGACGGGGGCCCGCCACAAGCGGUGGAGCAUGGUGGUUUAAUUCGAUGCAACGCGAAGAACCUUUACCU